rnacentral:rRNA from 1 species
GACGAACGCUGGCGGCAUGCCUAACACAUGCAAGUCGAACGGGCGAGGAAAGCUUGCUUUCCGAGCUAGUGGCGGACGGGUGAGUAAUGCGUGAGCAACCUGCCUCAAAGAGGGGGACAACAGUUGGAAACGACUGCUAAUACCGCAUGAUGUACGGAGGGGGCAUCCCUUUCGUACCAAAGAUUUUAUCGCUUUGAGAUGGGCUCACGUCUGAUUAGCUAGUUGGUGAGGUAACGGCUCACCAAGGCUUCGAUCAGUAGCCGGACUGAGAGGUUGAACGGCCACAUUGGGACUGAGAUACGGCCCAGACUCCUACGGGAGGCAGCAGUGGGGAAUAUUGGGCAAUGGGCGCAAGCCUGACCCAGCAAUGCCGCGUGAAGGAAGAAGGCCUUCGGGUUGUAAACGUUACUUUACCUACGGGUACGAAGGACGUAGACGGUACCGUGGAGAAAAGACAACGGCUAACUACGUGCCAGCAGCCG